rnacentral:lncRNA from 1 species
GACUGUGCUUGUGACUGGGAAUGAUCCCGAGGAGGCAUGUGUGAAGAAAACGUGUAUACAUACUGUGCUACAGAUCAUGCCAUUUACUUAGCAACUUAUUGGAUCAUCUGACAAUUACCAGUGGCACACUGCACUACAAUUUUCAAGUUUAGGCCAUGCUUCAUAUUUGCAGAUGCAACACUGUGAUGGUCACGAGCUAAGGGGAUGACCGUGCCUCUCUGUGGAGUGUUUAGGCAUCACUUGUCAUCUGCAUUACCAGCAGAGAUCAUCUGGUCACCUGGUAAUAGCACAUCAGCUCCUCCAGCUCAUCUGCAUGAAUGACGAUGUGAAGACCACACAGCUGUGCGAAGCGGAACUCUUGUCCAUCCAUGCAGGCAAAGCACACCUAGGGGACGGAGGGCAAGCGUGAGGGUCCCCAAGACAGGACACAGCACCACAGCAGCUGACUUACAAGGCACACAGUUGCAAAUGCAGAAAUACCAGCAGUGGGGUAUUUUAAGUUGGAUUCUGAACAAGUAGCUAACUCUAUGAUGAAUUGUACAAGACUGGGAGAAAAAAUAUGACAUUUGUAAUCUGCAGGCCAAGGGGGUGCUUGA